CAGUAGCCGCGGUAAUACGAAGGGUGCAAGCGUUAAUCGGAAUUACUGGGCGUAAAGCGUGCGUAGGCGGUUUGUUAAGUCUGCUGUGAAAUCCCCGGGCUCAACCUGGGAAUGGCAGUGGAUACUGGCAAGCUAGAGUGUGUCAGAGGAUGGUGGAAUUCCCGGUGUAGCGGUGAAAUGCGUAGAGAUCGGGAGGAACAUCAGUGGCGAAGGCGGCCAUCUGGCCUAAUACUGACGCUGAGGUACGAAAGCAUGGGGAGCAAACAGGAUUAGAUACCCCAGUAGUCCCUGUCUCUUAUAC
rnacentral:rRNA from 1 species